rnacentral:lncRNA from 1 species
AAAUUGUUUAAAAGCCACAGGGAGAGUAAAUUAAAUGCACGUGUCACUUUGCCAGAUGACAUGUGCCUUAGAAUAUUGACAUCACUAUGGUCCUUCAGCCUGACAACUACAGAAUCCUGAGACUUCAGUAGUUUUCUAGCCACUGUAGUCACCAGUUUGGUGUCUAGAGGCAGGAAGGCAAACGAAAAUUUCACAUUGUUUGAUAAGUUCUUCAUCGCAGGCUUUACUAAAAAGGUGGAGCUCUGCAUCAGGAGAAUUGUUUUGUUUUGUUUUGUUUUUUUCCAUAUGGAUACAACUAAGGAGGAAGAUGUAGGAGAAGAAAAUCGAACCGUGGUUUGCCAAGGUGCUGCGGUUAUCCGAAGGGGGUGGAAAAGAAAGAAACGAUAUCUGACCUUGUUCAAUGACAUUUUGGUGGUAUCCAGUAAACUUUCCAUGGAACAGACCAUUUGGUGGUAUUUCUUUCUACAAAGAUCCAUUCGUGAAGCCAAAAAACACAACAUAACGGAACUUCCCAUGCAGAUAUUCACUGAGGACAUUGCAUGCUGUGACACUCCUCUAUAUGUAACAGCAACAAACUUCAAUAUGGUGAAUGACAUAAUCAGCAAGUUACUACCAAUGAUAAGAAAGCAUAACAUUGAAGAUUACCAACUGUGGUUCUGUCCUGGCCCUGGGAAAGCUCCAAGAGUACUCCAAGGGCAUGAGUAUCCACAUGACAUUAGAAUGAUAAAUAUUCAAAAGAACUUCAUUUCACGGGACUUAAGAAAUUUUACAGCUUUCCCUUCCCUACCUGGGGUAAUCAUGAAAUACCUAAACGCUGAUAUACAUGGGAAAUUCAUCUUGAAGCCCAGAAACUCAGCAAGAAGCCAGCAGCAAAAAAAUAUGAAGGAAAAAACUUUUAAGAAACAAAGAACUUCUAUGACGUCGCAAGUUGGACAGGGGCUCUGUGCCCCACCAGGACCAAGUAUGCACCACCCCACCAGUUAAAAAGGGAAGAAAACUGUUUGGAAGAGAACUCAGUUCCAUUUGUCAGGAUGGCAUCCUGCCCGCAGCAAUUCUGGUAUGUCUCAAAUGUUGUUUCUCUGGCUGUCCUAAGACAAAAUCCUGCUUCUUAAAUACCUGACCCCUUCACUUCUAUCACCAUGUGGAGUAAAAAUUGUGUCUCAAAUCAUUGGCUUCCAGUAGGAAGAUGAGAGAGGCCUAUUCAGAAACCAUCUAUUGGAAAAGUUGGAUUCAAUCCCUUAACUAUUUUGGAAAAUCUGAUAUGAAGAAAUGUUGCCUGAUCUUUAAGGGAUAAUAUUAGGGUGGGAUGUGUACAACAAAAGAUUGAGGCACAAAACCAGCUUGAGGUCAUCUGUGUCCAUGCCACCACACAUACAAUUGGCUAUUUCACAUGAUGAGGUAAUAAGGUAUAGCUACACACAUUGGCAAGUUUGGGGCGUCCUGAAUGUCGGGGGCUGGGGGAUUAUCUCUUCCUGCCAGGUGUCCUGUGAGUCAGAUCCGGUACUCCUGCUCUGUUCUGCAUCCAUUUCCUUUUAUGGUCUGUUAGUUCUAGCGGCAGGGCGGGGCUGCCUGGACUUGCUUUUCACAGUGUUUAGCCCUGAGGUUGUGAAUUUUGAAACUUACUCUUUUAACUUCAUAUUUUUAAACCUUAAAUCUGUAUAGUUUUCCUUUCAAUACACACACACAGAGAGAGAGAGAGAGAGAGAGAGAGAGAGAAACAGAGACAGACAGAAACAGAGACAGACAGGGAGAGGGGGAGACAGAUACCGAGAGACAGAGAGACAGAGAGAGGGAUGGAGACAGAGAGACAGAAACACACACACACACACACACACACGAGAGAGAGAGAGAGAGAGAGAGAGAGAGAGAGAGAGAGAGAGAGAGAGAGACUAGGCUUCUGGAUACAAGAUCAAUCUCAAUAAACAGAGAGCUGGUCAGUGUCUUUGAGGGCAGUUAAUCUGGGAAGGGUCUCUGAAAGCACUUGUAUCAACUGUACUGUACUGUAUGUACUGUGUACAUAUUUAAGGACACUAUGGAUUGGGGAUUUAGCUCAGAAGUAGGGCGCUUGCCUAGCAAGCCCAAAGCCCUGGGUUCGGUCCCCAGCUCCGGGGGGAGGGGGGAAAGAACACUAUUAUAAUCAGAGGGAGCGAAGACUUAAAUCUUAAUUUUGACAAUUGUAAAAAAUAUCAAGCAAGUUUUCCAUCACAAUAAAUUAGAAAAUAAUGAGUUUCCUAAUGAAUAGAGUCCAAGCAUGUUAAGAGGGUAAAUAUUUUGAUUUGCGUGAGAGUAUCACCCUGUAUUGGUGAGGCAGAGCAAAUUGGUGAAGAUGGAUUUGUGGGUGAGUGGGCUCAGAAGUGCUUUCUUAGAUCAUUACUAGUAUACUCUGUUUUUGAAUUCCUGUGCAACCCCAUAUGCCCCUGACUCUUACAUACGUUAAGAUGGCAAGCCCAUGGCUUUCAUCUGUACACGAAGUUCCUCCCUCAUGAAGACCCACAAAUAGGAGGGAUGAGUCUAAAGUGGGACAUCCACGGUAUGUAUAUGGUAUCUAUAUUCGAUACUUUUGUGGCUGUGAACAAAUACCUUUGGCUAAAUGUGCUCAUGGGCUGAUAUCAUCUUUAAAGCUAACUUUAAAUGAGUUGGAUUUGUCUUCCAGUUUUACUUGCUCUCUGGCAUACCCCUAACCUCUCAUGAAAACAGACCCACCUAAGUGAGACUGAAAUUCCUUAGACAUCUAUUCCUAGCUAUCAUUUAGCUUCCCUAACCACAACCCAUGUCCGAAAGGAUCAAGAAUAAAGGACAUUUUGGAGACCAUCUCGUACAGUUUGAGUUUUUUCAAAAUUUGGGCCUGGUUUUGCUCAGAUCUCUUGUUUCUUGCCAUAGGGGGAUCUUAUAUCUCGAUCACACUCCUCCCCAAAUAUUUAAAGCACUUGACUACCAAACGCUGAUUCUUUGCAUAUUUAUUUGCAGCUCAAAUUCCAGAAUACAAGGUCAUAUAUGGGGAGAAAAAUGAAUGGAAGUCUUUAUGAGAGGGUUCUGCUCAUAAAUAGUCUUUAAAUGACCCGUCACUCAAGAGUCACUUGAUAAAAUUCCAGAAUAUUUGCAGUUUUUUUCGUUGGGUUGAAUAAUUUAUUUACGUUUAAUAUUUCACAAUAGUAAAACAGAGCAUCAGAUAAAAAUUUUAUAAGCACCUUUUAAAGCAAAAUGGAAUGUGAGUCAUUGGCACUGCUGGGUACCAGAGAUUGCUCUUUAUGUCUAAGAUCAUACUGCAAAAUUGAGCUCCUCUGCCUGUCAGCUCCCCAAAGGUACCUUAAGCUCAUGCCUUAGGAUGCUGUGAGUUGAGCUGAGCAGCACUAUCUCCUUAUGGAGUGAUCUACCUAUGCAACUGUAUGCUUUAAAUGUCUGUAACUAGAACAUUUUUUUGUUCUCAACAGGAGAAUAUUUAGCUCUGAGAUAACAAUUGCAAAUUUGAUUUAAGGUUCAUCUUCUCUGUCCACGUUUCUAUUUCUUUCUCUUCACACAGAUUGUAUGUGUAGGCCUAUAGGUGUUUGUACAUGCAGAAGCCAGCAUCUGAAACUGUGUCUCUUUUCUCAGGUGUCACCAACAUUAUCCCCUACUUUUGGGGACAGUCAGUGUCUUUUACUGGCCUGGAAACAGGUAUAUAAAUUAAUCUGACUGACCAGAGAGCUUUGUGGUCUGUUUAUCUCUACUUCCAACAAAUGGAUUGUAAGUACACACCAAUAUGACCAGCUUUUGUUUUUUGUGGAGGUUCUGAGAGAAUUAUCUCUGGUCCUCAUCAUUGCAAGGCAAGAAUUGACCAAACCAACUUUCUCCUUUAUUUUAUUCUACACAUGUAGCAUAUAUAAUCCAUGAAUUACAAAAAUCAGUAGGAAAUGCUUUUUAAAUUUUAUUUAUUUACAACUGUUAUUGUGUGUGUAUGUCUGUGUGUCUGUGUGUAUGGUGUGUAUGUGUCUGUGUAAAUGUAUAUGGUGUGUAUGUGUAAAUGUAUAUGGUGUGUGUAUGUAAAUAUAUAUGGUGUGUGUGUGUGUGUGUGUGUGUGUGUGUGUGUAGGUGCAUAUGUCAUGCUACAUAGGUAUAGAUCAGAAGGCAGCUUGAUGUAGUCAGUUCUCAUUCCAUCUUUAC